UUGAACGCUGGCGGCAUGCCUUACACAUGCAAGUCGAACGGUAACAGGUCUUCGGAUGCUGACGAGUGGCGAACGGGUGAGUAAUACAUCGGAACGUGCCCGAGAGUGGGGGAUAACGGAGCGAAAGCUUUGCUAAUACCGCAUACGAUCUACGGAUGAAAGCAGGGGACCGCAAGGCCUUGCGCUCAUGGAGCGGCCGAUGGCAGAUUAGGUAGUUGGUGGGAUAAAAGCUUACCAAGCCGACGAUCUGUAGCUGGUCUGAGAGGACGACCAGCCACACUGGGACUGAGACACGGCCCAGACUCCUACGGGAGGCAGCAGUGGGGAAUUUUGGACAAUGGGCGCAAGCCUGAUCCAGCCAUGCCGCGUGCAGGAUGAAGGCCUUCGGGUUGUAAAGCUCUUUCAGACGGAAAGAAAUCGGGCGCGUGAAUAGCGUGCCUGGAUGACGGUACUGUCAGAAGAAGCACCGGCUAACUACGU
rnacentral:rRNA from 1 species